rnacentral:rRNA from 1 species
GUCGCGAAUCAUUGGCAAUGCGCGCAAGCGUGACCAUGCAACGCCGCGUGGGCGAUGAAGGCCUUCGGGUUGUAAAGCCCUGUCAGGGGUGAAGAAUGCUACGGGUCCACUCGUAGUUGACGUUAGCCCCAAAGGAAGUCACGGCUAACUCCGUGCCAGCAGCCGCGGUAAGACGGAGGUGGCAAACGUUGCUCGGAAUCACUGGGCUUAAAGGGCGUGUAGGCGGCUGCUCAAGUCGGGUGUGAAAUCCCUCGGCCUAACCGAGGACAUGCUCCCGAUACUGGGCGGCUAGAGUGUGGGAGGGGUAAGUGGAACUCCAGGUGUAGCGGUGAAAUGCGUAGAUAUCUGGAGGAACGCCGGUGGCGAAAGCGACUUACUGGCCCGCAACUGACGCUGAGGCGCGAAAGCUAGGGGAGCAAACGGGAUUAGAUACCCUAGUAGUCC